rnacentral:rRNA from 1 species
AUGACAAGGCCCAAAUAUUUGGGCAGGUUAGGGUUCAGGGACAUGGAAAUUUUUAACCUCGCCCUACUUGCUAGGCAGUCAUGGAGGAUUAUUCAAGAGCCCAACUCUCUAAGUGCGAGAAUAUUGAAAUCAGUGUACUUCCCCGAGGUUACUAUUCUUAAUGCAGAACUUGGCACAAAACCCUCCCAGGUGUGGCAUGCAAUUCUAGAGGGGAGGGAUAUCCUGAAGCAAGGUUUGAUUCAAAGAAUUGGGAAUGGACAAGAGACUUUUAUUUGGUCAGACAAUUGGAUCCCUAAAAAUUCCUAUCUUCGGCCAAUUUUAUCGCUUGUUCAUAACCCACAAGAGAGGGUUUCAGACCUCAUGGAGCCAGCUACAGCAAGCUGGAAUGAGCAGCUAAUACGCAACAUCUUCUUGCCCAACGACGCGGAGGAAAUUUUGAAAAUCCCGGUUUGCACACAGAAUAUUGGUGACUACUGGGCGUGGCAUCCGGACAGUACGGGAGUUUUUUCAGUGAGCUCGGCCUACAAAUUCAUCAUCAGGACUAAAACUCAGCGAGAGUGUUGGCUUGAGGGAUGUGGUGAAUCCUCUGACAGUAUCAAAGAACAGAGUGCCUGGACAUUGCUGUGGAAGAUCAAAAUUCCCGCCAAAGUGAAAGUUUUUCUGUGA